rnacentral:rRNA from 1 species
GACGAACGCUGGCGGCGUGCUUAACACAUGCAAGUCGAACGGAGCACCCUUGAUUGAGGUUUCGGCCAAAUGAUAGGAAUGCUUAGUGGCGGACUGGUGAGUAACGCGUGAGGAACCUGCCUUUCAGAGGGGGACAACAGUUGGAAACGACUGCUAAUACCGCAUGACGCAUUUUGAUCGCAUGGUCGAAAUGCCAAAGAUUUAUCGCUGAAAGAUGGCCUCGCGUCUGAUUAGAUAGUUGGCGGGGUAACGGCCCACCAAGUCGACGAUCAGUAGCCGGACUGAGAGGUUGACCGGCCACAUUGGGACUGAGAUACGGCCCAGACUCCUACGGGAGGCAGCAGUGGGGAAUAUUGGGCAAUGGGCGCAAGCCUGACCCAGCAACGCCGCGUGAAGGAAGAAGGCUUUCGGGUUGUAAACUUCUUUUAAGUGGGAAGAGCAGAAGACGGUACCACUUGAAUAAGCCACGGCUAACUACGUGCCAGCAGCCGCGGUAAUACGUAGGUGGCAAGCGUUGUCCGGAUUUACUGGGUGUAAAGGGCGUGCAGCCGGGCAUGCAAGUCAGAUGUGAAAUCUCAGGGCUUAACCCUGAAACUGCAUUUGAAACUGUAUGUCUUGAGUGCCGGAGAGGUAAUCGGAAUUCCUUGUGUAGCGGUGAAAUGCGUAGAUAUAAGGAAGAACACCAGUGGCGAAGGCGGCUGUCUGGUCUGUAACUGACGCUGAGGCUCGAAAGCAUGGGUAGCGAAC